GUGAGUCAUCGAAUCUUUGAACGCACAUUGCGCCCGCCAGUAUUCUGGCGGGCAUGCCUGUCCGAGCGUCAUUUCAACCCUCGAACCCCUCCGGGGGGUCGGCGUUGGGGACCUCGGGAGCCCCUAAGACGGGAUCCCGGCCCCGAAAUACAGUGGCGGUCUCGCCGCAGCCUCUCCUGCGCAGUAGUUUGCACAACUCGCACCGGGAGCGCGGCGCGUCCACGUCCGUAAAACACCCAACUUCUGAAAUGUUGACCUCGGAUCAGGUAGGAAUACCCGCUGAACUUAAGCAUAUCAAUAAGCGGAGGA
rnacentral:misc_RNA from 1 species